AAUAUCGGUUUCCCGCAGGAACAAUGGCGCUGUCGUGGCACAGCAGAGCAGCUCUGAAGAUGCAAAGAUACAUGAAAGAAUUCCAGAAUAUGCUGGAGAGUAUUUAAUGGAAAACCGCUUGGUUAAAACCUGACACUCUUCAUGGCAUUCUGGGUGUGGACGAUCAGCCAGUGAAGAUAAUGAAUGUCGGAUGUCACUGACUAGCAGCUUCAUUUUGAAUGAGGGUCGCUGUCUGCCCAUUGAUAAGAGGCCGGAUUGUCUUGGAAGUUCCAAAGUUGCAACGAUUUCUGUAAGUGGAGUUUUUCUGUUUGCUUAGCGAUUAGUGAAUAUUGUGUCCUUGGUCUUAUCUGUGAUGAUCUUAUCCCGAACCUGAACUUCUGUUGAAAAAAAAAACUUUUACGGAUCUGGCUUCUGAGAUGGACCAUUAUAAGGACAAUACUUUUUUUUAAUGCUUUUACAUAAGCUGUUGUAAUGUUGGUAGUCUUGUAAGAAUCUCAUGUUUUUCCUUUUCUAGGGCUAGUGCCACGAGGUUUACUUGACUGUUGUAUGAAAAGCUGAUGAGAAAACCAUCCAGAAAAAAGCUCUUCGUUUUACAAACACGAAAAUAAAACAUGUAAUUUUGGAUUAUGUUGUUUUUAA
rnacentral:lncRNA from 1 species